AAAGGUGUGAUUUUGGGAGGUGGGGUUGCAUUCUUGGUGCUUUUUAGUUUGGUAUUUUUGGGAUGGGUUGUGUUUGUGGUAAGCCAUCUGCCAUUGAAGACAGUAGAGAUAGUCCAAGGGAGAGGCUGUCAAGUAAAAGUGCUGCAAGUUUGAGAGGGCCAAGAACUGGUGGUUCAUCAAGAAGAGAGGAAGCUUAUAGAGUCAAAGAUCGUUUGGAUAGCAUUGAUGGGAAGACAAUGUUGAUUGAUAAACAAGUAAAUGGUUCAGUAAGACUGCAGACUGAGAAUUAUGAGAGGAAAAGAGAGAAGCAAGAGUUAAUUGGGACAUUACCUAAAAGCAGUGAAGGGGAACAGGUUGCUGCUGGAUGGCCACCCUGGCUUGCUGCUGUUGCUGGAGAAGCUAUCAGAGGAUGGGUGCCUAGACGAGCAGAUUCCUUUGAGAAAUUGGAUAAAAUUGGUCAGGGCACCUACAGCAACGUUUACCGUGCUCGUGAUCUUGAUCAAGGGAAGAUCGUUGCAUUGAAGAAAGUGAGAUUUGAUAAUCUAGA
rnacentral:misc_RNA from 1 species